GUAGCUUUCUCAUAGUCUUAUGUUCCCUGUUGCACCUUGUCCCUGUAUUUCCCUUCACCUUUAGCUGGACCCUGUGAAUGUCAGCAUUGCUCCUCAAUAAAAUUCUGCACUUGGACCCUGUCCCUCACUGACUGGAGCAAUCCAGACACCUCUUUUGCUGGCCUCCUGUGGAAUAUAAAUGGGUUAUUGGGCGACACCUAGUGGGGAAGAACUCCUUUUACACUGGGAAUGUAUGGAGAGGGAGUGCCGCGGUGGAGACAGAGCAGGGGUGGCAGAGAGCUGGUUUCCUUCUGACACUGGAUGCUCCUUAUCAGUUUUCACACCAUACAAACCCCAUAUUGUACUCCAAGAAAACGCAGAGGAAAAGGCUGAAGAUGGCACAACCAUUUCUGGGUGAUAUUUGCCUGGGAUUUUAACCUUCUCCCUCCUGACACAUAAAAAACCAGCAUUUCCAAGAUUCCCAGAAACGGCUUCAUUGUUCCUCGCUAGCUGGGCAGGUGCAGUUCAAUGCAGGCUUGGGGAUUUCUUCAGCACCAUCACAAAGUGUAUAUACUCUAAAUGCCUACAGUAAAAAGGACUCUAGCAACUUCUUAUGUGAUGCAUUUGCACAAAGGGAGAAUUCCUCAUUUAAGAUGGGUAAUAAGCAAACGAUAUUUACUGAUGAACAGCUAGAUGCUUAUCAGGAUUGUACCUUCUUCACUCGCAAAGAAAUCCUCCGGUUGCAUGGCCGAUACCAUGAAAUGGCACCGAACAUUGUGCCCAUGGACUAUACCCAGGAUCCAGAUGUUAAACUACCUAUACAGCUUAUAAUUAACAUGCCUGAACUCAAGGAAAACCCCUUCAAGGAGAGGAUUGUGGAGGCUUUCUCAGAGGAUGGAGAAGGGAACCUGAGCUUCAAUGACUUCGUAGACAUGUUCUCUGUGCUCAGUGAAAUGGCUCCCAGAGAGCUCAAAGCAAUCUAUGCCUUUAAGAUCUAUGAUUUUAACACAGAUAACUUCAUUUGUAAAUCUGAUCUUGAAAAAACCCUCAACAAGCUGACACGAGAAGAGCUAACAGCAGAAGAAAUCACUUUAGUUUGUGAAAAGGUGAUAGAAGAAGCUGAUAUGGAUGGUGAUGGGAAACUAGCAUUUGCAGACUUUGAAAAUAUGAUUUCCAAAGCACCAGAUUUUCUAAGUACCUUCCAUAUAAGAAUCUGAAGACGCUGAUGUGAGCCACUAUUAUCAGAAAUGAUUUGACAUCAGUCCUGCAUCUCUGAAUCUCAGGCACUUUGUGGGGCUUUGUCCUCUUAUGGUUUCUUAGAACUCCGCAACAAGGACUGACAUCAUUCUGGCCCCUGUGGGAAAGACUCAUCACUGAUCUACAAGACCUUUGGGAUGUCUGAAUUUUUAUCUUCAGUGUUGGCCAACAAUGGCAUUUUGGAAAAGGGUGGUUGACUGGGCUUUUUUAAACAAACAAACAAACAAACAAACAAACAAACAAACAAACAAACACUGUUAAUGUAUUUCCCUGUUGUUUUUAUAUUUCUGAAAAUUUGAUAUUGUUCUUCAAAGCAAAAAAGAAAGGCUGAUAUAAGCUAUGGUGAUUUUCCCAGAGAUUAUUAGUUGAAAGAAAGCACUGGCCUUAAAAUAAUGAGAUGCCUCAACCAUCGUGUUGCACAGUUGGGGAUUAUGCAUUGAAAUAAUUUAAAAUUAGGAGUCAAGAUCAAGUUCAGGGUGUUGAAGACAACCACCUGCUGGGUUUGCCAUUUAAAUCUGAAAAAUGUCAGGUUGCUGGGUUUGGUGCUUAACCCUCAACCAAUAUUUUAUUGUUUGUAAUAUCCUUACAAAAGUUUAAGUAUUUGACUUUUGUAUGACAUCUGCAUGGUGAUUCACUUCUUCCCAAGACCAACUUUAAAUUGUGUCUUUGUUCUUCAAGAAGGUCUUGCCUUUUUUCAUGUCUUGGGACGAUAAUGUUGGAUAGAAGAAUACUGUCAUCUGUUGCUCCAAGAAGCACAGCACCAGUAUCAAGGACACACACACACACAAAAGACAUUUUUAAACCAGCUAUGCAAUUUUUCUCAUAAAAUGCAUAAAUGCAGCUCCGUAUUUCUCUCUCUCUCUCCUACCCCUCCUGAAAAUCAGCUUUGUCAAUCCUUUUUAAAAUCCCACUAUUGUUUAAGUACUGGAGCAUGACGACAAUCAUACUUGUAUAACUGUUCUAACAGUCAAUAGAAGGGCUCUAUCACUUACAUGGCUUCUGUAUCAAAGUCACCUACAAUUAAACCAUCUGACUGAUUUAACAUGUUUUAGGGAUUGUUGUCCUGACCUACAAUAUGAACAUUAAUUUCCUUUUCUGCCAGUAUUUCCCUCCAAUCAGUGUUACCUUAAAUCUUUCAGGGAUUAUGUGACUGUUUGAAGUGGGGGAGGGGACUAAAGGCCUAAGUGAGUUAGCAGCAUGAUGGCUAGUAUACUGGUGUUUAUCUGGAGUAACUCCAUUAGAAUUAAUUCAGAUAUACACCUGUCUACCUCAGGUCAACCUCUGGGCCUAUGCUGAGGGAAGCAAAUGAUCCUCUGCUGCAGUGCUUCCUAGCUUGCUGUACCUCUUCUUAUUUCUUUUAUUUAGACAUUUGCUGCUGUAUGUUAUACUGCUUCAUAGUCACAAUUUCCUCUGUGUCAGCAGGUGUACAAUGCUGCAGUCAUCUGACUUCUCUGGCACUUCUUGGAACCUCAAGACUACAUCCUACACAUGGCUCCACUCAUCUGGAACUAGGCUUAUACUCCUACUUCCUGUUGGCUGGCUCAUCAUGUCAUUCAUUAUGCAUGCAAGAAGCAUCAAUGACACAGCACCACUGGAUGGCAUCGUAACACCAUCUCAUGUCCUUUCUCAGAGCAGAAUUAUUCUAUCAGGUCUGGACUUAAACUGUGACCUGGCCAGAGGGCAGAGCCAUGGGAAGGGGCAAAUCACCACAGGACAAGAGUGGCUGCUUUCAGAGGGCCCCAGAUGAGGAGAGACCUACUACAUCACACCCAGCCCUGAGGAGGCAUCCCACUGGCAAGUCUCCCCUUCUUAGCACCGCUUUGACUAUACCAGUGUAGAUAAAGGGGAAUAAUCCCCUGCCCCAGUAAGAAUGCAGUGUUCCUGGUGUAAAUGGGCCUGUAGUUUAUCCCCUUCACAACACUUGUGUGAAGGCAAUAACAUACAAUUGUUUUAGAGAUCAUAACUGAGACAGUGGAUUUAAAGGCCUGAUGCUGAGCUCUUGUCAAGUCCUUCAUUGGGAGUCAAGGGUGCUAAGCACCUCACGGGGCUGUUAGUACUUAGAAACCCAGAAUCCUGACCCCUGUCCCAUGGCUCUAACCACUGCAAAAUGUUCUCUCUUCCCCUCUCCCUUCUCCCCUUCAGCCCAAGUAAAAUGUAAGGCAGCGAUACUUCUGAAUUACUAGCUAAUCUGUAGCUGCAAAAUCUAACCAAGUCAUUAUUACAAAAAAUGUGACUUUUCCUGUGUUUGAAGCCUUGGCUUCUAAUUAAUCCCUAUCUUCCCUCACACUGAGGAGGAGAAAUGAUGCAUUGGUCACUAAGGAGUAGAGUAAAGAACAUUUCCCUGGUCUCUGUAUGACAGAUUUAUUCCGCUUCAAUACAGGACCCUUAAUCACCUCCAUGGAUGCUGAGGCAGCCAAUUUCUAAACUCUUUUUCAGUUUAAAAAUUCAGUAUAGUAAUAGGAAGAAAAAACAGCUUGGUUAUCAUUUUUAAUCAAGAUUUUU